GCGCCCGUAGCUCAGUGGAUAGAGCAUCUGACUUCGGAUCAGAAAGUCGGGGGUUCAAAUCCCUCCGGGCGUGCCA
rnacentral:tRNA from 1 species